CAGUCGCCGCGGUAAUACGUAGGUGGCAAGCGUUGUUCGGAAUUACUGGGCGUAAAGCGCGCGUAGGCGGUUACUCAAGUCAGAGGUGAAAGCCCGGGGCUCAACCCCGGAACUGCCUUUGAAACUAGGUAACUAGAAUCUUGGAGAGGUCAGUGGAAUUCCGAGUGUAGAGGUGAAAUUCGUAGAUAUUCGGAAGAACACCAGUGGCGAAGGCGACUGACUGGACAAGUAUUGACGCUGAGGUGCGAAAGCGUGGAGAGCAAACAGGAUUAGAGACCCCAGUAGUCCCUGUCUCUUAUAC
rnacentral:rRNA from 1 species